rnacentral:rRNA from 1 species
GACGAACGCUGGCGGCGUGCCUAACACAUGCAAGUCGAGCGAGUGAAUUUCCUUCGGGAUUGAAGCUAGCGGCGGACGGGUGAGUAACACGUGGGCAACCUGCCUCAUAGAGGGGAAUAGCCUUUCGAAAGGAAGAUUAAUACCGCAUAAGAUUGUAGCUUCGCAUGAAGUAGCAAUUAAAGGAGCAAUCCGCUAUGAGAUGGGCCCGCGGCGCAUUAGCUAGUUGGUGAGGUAACGGCUCACCAAGGCGACGAUGCGUAGCCGACCUGAGAGGGUGCUCGGCCACAUUGGGACUGAGACACGGCCCAGACUCCUACGGGAGGCAGCAGUGGGGAAUAUUGCACAAUGGGGGAAACCCUGAUGCAGCAACGCCGCGUGAGUGAUGACGGCCUUCGGGUUGUAAAGCUCUGUCUUCAGGGACGAUAAUGACGGUACCUGAGGAGGAAGCCACGGCUAACUACGUGCCAGCAGCCGCAGUAAAAC